CAGAGGACCUUUAAAUAGCCCCCAGAGCCCUGGGGUAGCAGGGCUGCAGGGUAGGGCUUGCCGUGCUCCGGUCGGAGCUCCAGCCGGGGCCGCGGGGCUUGCCGUGGUCCAGCCAGAGCUCCAGCCGGCGCUUUGGUCAGGGGAGCGGGGCCACGGAAGACCCCAGAGCAGACCGCAGCCGGGGGAUUCUAGCACCUUCCUAUGAUGCAUCUGGUACAGACCAUUGUCAGAUACAGGAUCCUGAAUGAUUGCUCUGAUCUGGUGUGGCAAUUCCUAUGUUCCUGUGCAAACUUUUUUUGGCCUGGCACAGUGGGGCUCCAGUCCUGGUCAGGGUCACUGGCAUACCCAAAUACUAAUAGUCAAUAAUAAAUAAAUGAUGAUAUACCAGGCAAUAUACCCCGCCCCGCCAUGUGAUAUGAGAAGAUCCAUAGGAAACCUGGAUCAUAAUA